rnacentral:rRNA from 1 species
GACGAACGCUGGCGGCGUGCUUAACACAUGCAAGUCGAACGGAAAGGCCCUGCUUUUGUGGGGUGCUCGAGUGGCGAACGGGUGAGUAACACGUGAGUAACCUGCCCUUGACUGUGGGAUAACUUCAGGAAAAUGGGGCUAAUACCGGAUAGGAGCUCCUGCUGCAUGGGGGGGGUUGGAAAGUUUCGGCGGUGGGGGAUGGACUCGCGGCUUAUCAGCUUGUUGGUGGGGUAGUGGCUGACCACGGCUUUGACGGGUAGCCGGCCUGAGAGGGUGACCGGCCACAUUGGGCCUGCGAUACGGCCCAGACUCCUACGGUCGGCAGCAGUGGGGAAUCUUGCACAAUGGGCGGACGCCUGAUGCAGCAACGCCGCGUGCGGGAUGACGGCCUUCGGGUUGUAAACCGCUUUCGCCUGUGACGAAGCGUGAGUGACGGUAAUGGGUAAAGAAGCCCCGGCUAACUACGUG